CCUACGGGGGGCAGCAGUGAGGAAUAUUGGUCAAUGGACGAGAGUCUGAACCAGCCAAGUAGCGUGAAGGAUGACUGCCCUAUGGGUUGUAAACUCCUUUUAUAAAGGAAUAAAACGAGGCACGUGUGCCUUUUUGCAUGUACUUUAUGAAUAAGGAUCGGCUAACUCCGUGCCAGCAGCCGCGGUAAUACGGAGGAUCUGAGCGUUAUCCGGAUUUAUUGGGUUUAAAGGGAGCGUAGAUGGGUUGUUAAGUCAGUUGUGAAAGUUUGGGGCUCAACCGUAAGAUUGCAAUGGAUACUGGCAGGCUUGAGUACAGGUGAGGUAAGCGGAAUUCGUGGUGUAGCGGUGAAAUGCUUAGAUAUCACGAAGAACCCCGAUUGCGAAGGCAGCUUACUGAACUGUAACUGACGUUGAUGCUCGAAAGUGUGGGUAUCAAACAGGAUUAGAUACCCCAGUAGUC
rnacentral:rRNA from 1 species